rnacentral:rRNA from 1 species
AUGAACGCUAGCUACAGGCUUAACACAUGCAAGUCGAGGGGCAGCAUGGUCUUAGCUUGCUAAGGCCGAUGGCGACCGGCGCACGGGUGAGUAACACGUAUCCAACCUGCCGUCUACUCUUGGACAGCCUUCUGAAAGGAAGAUUAAUACAAGAUGGCAUCAUGAGUCCGCAUGUUCACAUGAUUAAAGGUAUUCCGGUAGACGAUGGGGAUGCGUUCCAUUAGAUAGUAGGCGGGGUAACGGCCCACCUAGUCUUCGAUGGAUAGGGGUUCUGAGAGGAAGAUCCCCCACAUUGGAACUGAGACACGGUCCAAACUCCUACGGGAGGCAGCAGUGAGGAAUAUUGGUCAAUGGGCGAGAGCCUGAACCAGCCAAGUCGCGUGGAGGAAGACUGCCCUACGGGUUGUAAACUCCUUUUACCUGGGAAUAACGGGCGCUACGCGUAGCGCUGUGCAUGUACCGGGAGAAUAAGCAUCGGCUAAUUCCGUG